GAUGAACGCUGGCGGCGUGCUUAACACAUGCAAGUCGAACGGAAAGGCCUUGUUCUUGUGGGGUGCUCGAGUGGCGCACGGGUGAGUCACACGUGGGUAGCGUGCCCUCGGCUUUGGGCUACCUUUAGGACACUGGGGCCAAUACCGGAUAGGAGCUAAUGCUGCCUGGUGGGGGUUGGCAUGUUUUGGCGGUGGGGGUUGGACUCGCGGCUGAUGAGCUGGUGGGUGGGGUCGUGGCUUACCAAGGCUUUGACGGGUAGCCGGCGGGAGGGGGGGACGGGCCACAUUGGGGCUAAGAUACGGCCCAGACGCCUACGGGGGGCAGCAGUGGGGAAUAUUGCACAAUAGGCGGAGGCCUGAUGCAGGAACGCCGCGGGCGGGAUGACGGCCUUCGAGUGGUAAACCGCUUUCGCCUGUGACGAAGCGGGAGUGACGGUAAUGGGUAAAGAAGCACCGGCUAACUACGUG
rnacentral:rRNA from 1 species